ensembl:snRNA U4 U4 spliceosomal RNA
AGCUUUGCGCAGGAGCAGUAUCAUAGCCAAGGAGGUUUAUCCAAGAUGUAAUUAUUGCUAAUUGAAAACUUUUCCCAAUACCCUGCUGUGAUGGUUUGAAAUAUAGUCAACUUUGGUCAUUUUUGACAGUCUCUAUGGAGA